UGUGGGAGGGGUGGAUGCCAGGAAGAGAGGAUCUUGGAAAUUGGCUACCAGAGUGUCCUCUGAUUCCCCUAAAAACAAAAGCUAUUGCUGACCGCUGGUGGCUAGUGCACGGGGGAUAUUUUUUUGUGGCAGGGAUUAGUCCCCAUGUCGCCCACAGGGCUGGAUUUGAGUCAGACCACCCAUGUCCAGUGCUGGCUCCUCCCACUUGGCAGAGGCAUGUAAUCCAGGUCUCGGGUUCCUCAUCUGUAAAAUGAGCUCCAUCUCCCGCCUUGUGGUGUGACGUGAGAAUUGGGUCCAGUUCUCGCCCUGCAAGAUCGGAGAAAGCUCGCUGCCCUCGUGUGAACCACCCAGUGAGGCCCGUCAAGGUCCCAAACAGCUGCUGCCAUUCAAGGAGCUUCGCUGACAUCCACGUGGGCGGCAGGUUAGCACGUGGUCCUCACCCGCCCUUGGAUGAGCCCUGGCUGUUGGCUGUCUGGGACUCGGCUUCACAUGCUUGCCGUGAGAGCGCUGAUGGUUCCGGCUCGCAGCCCCAGGUGCUGUGUGUUCCUGCCUCAAGACAGCAGGUCUGACAGGCACCAGGACUGCCCAGCGACGGAAAAGAUGGAGAAACACAACAAGGCCCUCAAUGUGACCAGCUGGCACUUGCAUCAGUGUUGAAAAUUUCAAACAGUGACACAAGUUAGGACUGUGAGGGACAAUAUUUUUGUUUGGUAAGGUCAGAUUUUGGGUCACAUAUGAACAAUAGUUAUUUCUUUUCAGAUUAUUACUGACAAUAGUUUUGUCUUACAGAGGAGAUGAGCGUUAACAAUGGUCGGCUCUGGUGUAAAUCUGCCGGGUCAGCUCCACUGGACCAUAACGGACAGAAAUCCAGGCCCUUUUUGGGUUUUUCUGUGUACAGUUGUCCUAAACCUGAAAUAUAUGUGAUGCAUUCCACAUAUUGCUACUUUUUCUGCUGCAAUUAUGCCUCUGUGUUAUUAAACACAUACGCCAUAUGUCUUUAUUUGAAAGCUCAGAACCUGGUCAGUGCUCAUAGCAGAGGUAAUGCCCACUGCACUUCUGGAAUUUGGUUCCAGAGCUACAUGAGUACGACUGCACAGUGACUUCCAGCCUGGCCUGUUUCCUCCCGUGUUGGACAUUGUGGGCUUCACACGGACUCCUCCUGUCCUACACACACACACACACACACACGCACACACAGAGCUCAGGCCUCCAGCUGAGCCCUCCCCAGGAACCGCCUCAGCCAGGAGGAGCUCAGAGUCAGCCAUGUCAUCCUGGGGCCACCCCAUCCGAUGGGCUCAGGCGAGCACAGAGGCCCCGCCCCUUUGCCUGCAUAACGGCAGGCCUGAAGGACCCCCAGCGGUGCCCUUCCUUGGGGCUGCCUUCGAGGUUCAAAUUCUCCCUUUGCGGGGUCCCAGUCCUCCUGCCUCGCUCCCCACAGGGACGGAGCCUAAGAGCACUCUCUGAUAUUCCGCCUCUGCACAAACCAGGGGCUGAUUUUUGGAACUCUGUUAUGACACCACUUACCUCCCCCGACCUCCGUAUUGCACUGACCUGGCCCUCUGGCCUGUCACCUCUUCCCCAAAUGCCCGUGUUGGCUCCAGAGUUGGCCCAGGUGGCAAUCAGUGCUGGACCCCAAAUAUUCCCACGGUUCUGUCUUCCAGGGUCACUAGGGCUCCCCUGCCUGGCCCUGUGGCCGGGUGGGGCUGUGUGGAUAGCUGGCUGAUAGGCUGUGGGCAGAGAUGACCUGGGUCAGUUCAAGAAGAUGGUUUAACUGCCACCUGGAGCCCUCCAGAACCGCUCCCCUCCAGCACUGACGUGGGUCCUGGAAUGUGUGCACGAGGCGAGGCCCCUGCCAGUCCUCUGUGGGCAGGGAGAGCGGAUGUUGAACCUCUGGUGGUGUGCACGCUGAGACUGGGGACCGCUGCUCACAGCAGCAUCGUCCUGUGCAUCCCCCUGAUGCAGCUCCCGGGGGCAGGAACCUCCUUCCCUGCGCUUUCUGGCCAUUUCUCUCAACUUCCAAGUUCUGUACAAAACGCAACCAUCUCUGUGAAGCCUCUGCAUUCAGCCUGGAGCCUGUUCUUACUUUGUCCUGUGAAGUUUGUCUCCCCCAUUAGACUGACGGCACCUCCAGGACAGGGAGCACAUCCCAGGCUCCUUCUCUCUGUCACAAGGCCUUGGUUGUUGCAGAGGCCAUGCUGUGAAAGGCACAGGAGGCGUGAGGAGCCGAGUUGCAUGCUGGGUGGUGCUGACAGUGUGUGUGCAGCACGAGAGGAUGCUGAGAGGAGGGCACAGCCAACACAGCUGCUGAGCGUCACACGCUGCCCUGCUUCACUGGCCCCAGGCAGAGGCCAUGGCCUCCCGCCCACCGUGAGCACCUCCCGCCCUGCCAAUGCACCACGGGCCCGGGUUCCAGCCCCUCCGCAGUGCUCUGCGACGUUCUUCUCUGUACCCUAAGAGCUUAAUAGUGAUGUCAGAUGUUCACGCACAGUCAUGUCUGUAGCUUCGUGUAUUGAGCAAACAUCAAGCAUCCUGGGGUCCCAAAUGCUGCUGAUUAGAACAGAGAAUACGCCAGUGAGUACCGUUAAAAUCGGCUCGUUGGAACAUGGGUAAUGACACUGCUGUCUAGGCAGUUCUGCACAUGUGGGGACGCAGGGACUGCACCGUCCACCUGUGCCCACCGAGCCCAUCCACCGCACAAUGGCAGCGGCACGGCCGGCUCGCUGCAGGGCCGGUGCUCAGAGAGCCAGAACCGCGGCCUGGCUGGGUCAGAUCUCCCAGAGCAAGGUCAGCCGCGGGGCACACUGCCACCUCAGCAGCCUCCUGCUGCCGUUGCUGUCAUGUUCUCUGAAACACCUGACUUUCCUCAAAAACAUUUUGAGGAGGAUCCACAAGGCCUCCCCGCUUCACUCUGCUGCUGAAUCAUUUCCUCUGAACUGUUUCAGAUCUUUUAUUUAAUUGCUUGACGUUGCUCAUCUGUCCCAGAACUGCCUCUCGCAUAGACUCGGCUCCCUGACCUGUUAAAGGAGCCCCACGGGCUGCUGCUGAUUGGCCUGCGGUGGGCGAGACUCAAGUCCAGCCCCUGAUCCGCUCGGGGGCGCACAGCAAUGUGUCUCUGAUGCGGCCUCUGGGGUUGUCCAGGAUCAAAGACGUUUCUGGGGCUGAUGAUUCCCCCUGACCCCGUCACCCUCCUUCGCAGAGUCCUGUGCCGGUGGAGAGAGGAGGGUGAUCCUGCAGCCAGAGGUGAGAGACAGGAGCACGUCUGCCCCGUGGCCUGGUUUGGAAGUCCCCGAGUCUGUGCCCUGGUUAGUGCUGGAUUUGGUAGACAGAGCCCAGUGAGCUGUCCAUGCCCCCCGGGGCAGCAGAGGCUGGGAAGCUAAGACGACUUUGCCCAAACUCCCCUGCAGCUGUAUUCUGGGUGUGAUCUUAUCUCCAUCCCAUUAGGUGUAGAUGCUCAUGAUUUCAGGGCAGGGAGAAGUGGGCCCUGCUCUGCUCUGUCUGCUCUUCCCACUGGGGCACCCCAGCAGGUGGGGAGGCUUCUGAUUUUCUGCUGCAGCUUCAGCAGAGGUCCCGACAUCCAGGCAGGGGCUGCACGAGUGUCAAGAGCAGGCCUUGGGGCACCCAUUUCCCGGGUAGCAGCUAGCGGGAGCCUGGGCCCUCUUCCGACCCCCAGCUGAGACAAGCUACUCCUGAAGCACGUGGCUGGGGCUGGUGGCUUCCUGGUCUCGGAAUUUUAGCUAAGGUGGGCGGUCUAGAGGCAGAGGCGGCCCAGCACCAUCCCCGGGGCAUCCAACUUCCGGCUGCGGCAGAGGAAACAGACCCCUUGCUAGGCCGUCGGUUCUGUGCCCAGGAGCCCCUCGCAGAGGCCAGGCCAGGGCCUGCCCCUUAGUCCACUCCACCAGUUCGCCAGCGUCUGGUUUCUUCUGUCAACUCCGGUUUGGCUUAUCAGCACCUGCACUUGUGUUAACAGCAGACGUCCCGACUGUGCUGUCCAUCUGCUGCUCUGCCUCGACGUGUUAUAAACCGAGUUACAUACCCCAGGUUUGAACAAGUUGAGUUUAAACUUGCGCUGAAAAUAGAGAAUGGCUACAAAUCUUUCCUUCAUGCGGCUCUGUGAGCUUGGCACGGAAGGUGAGCGUCUGGCUCUCAGACAACAAGCUCUCCUCCGCUUGCUCAGCACCAGCUCCUCUGGCUCUGGAGGCGUGGGUGCAGGUUCUGUCCACUGCUUGGCCAGCUGGUCCUCAUUUCUGUAACAACCGUCCUCCUCGAGAGCACGUCUGCCGGGCGCGGGAGGAACCCUGAAGACACGGGGAAGAGAAGCCCACGGUGAAUGCUGGAAAGUUCUCUCCCUGUGGGAGCAGGGAGCUGGGGCGGGCAGCCUGUGCCGCGUGGGAAGGGCAGGGGCUU